CCCUUAGAUGUUCUGGGCCGCACGCGUGCUACACUGAGUGGAUCAGCGGGUCAGGUUGCGCGAAAGCGUUUCCUAAUCUUUAAAUCCGCUCGUGAUGGAGAUUGACGGUUGCAAUUUUCUGUCAUGAACGAGGAAUACCUUGUAAGCGCGGGUCAUCAUCCCGCGCUGAAUACGUCCCUGCCCUUUGUACACACCGCCCGUCGCUCCUACCGAUUGAAUGCUCAGGUGAGCCAUUCGGACCUUCAUCAUGCCGGUUUCCGGUUUUGAUGAGGGAAAGUCUUGCGAACCUUAUCAUUUAGAGGAAGGAGAAGUCGUAACA
rnacentral:rRNA from 1 species